CCUACGGGAGGCAGCAGUGGGGAAUAUUGCACAAUGGUGGAAACCCUGAUGCAGCGACGCCGCGUGAGUGAAGAAGUAUUUCGGUAUGUAAAGCUCUAUCAGCAGGGAAGAAAAUGACGGUACCUGAUUACGAAGCCCCGGCUAACUACGUGCCAGCAGCCGCGGUAACACGUAGGGGGCAAGCGUUAUCCGGAUUUACUGGGUGUAAAGGGAGCGUAGGCGGCAGCACAAGUCUGGAGGGAAAUGCCGGGGGUUAACCCCGGAACUGCUUUUGAAACUGGGCAGCUAGAGUGGAAGAGAGGUAAGUGGAAUGCGUGGUGUAGCGGUGAAAUGCAUAGAUAUCAGGAAGAACACCGGUGGCGAAGGCGGCUUGCUGGACUGUAACUGACGUUGAGGCUCGAAAGCGUGGGGAGCGAACAGGAUUAGAUACCCGGGUAGUC
rnacentral:rRNA from 1 species